AACUGCGAGUGAAGAGGGAAGAGCUCAAAUUUAAAAUCUGGCAGUCUUUUGCUGUCCGAGUUGUAAUCUAGAGAAGUGCUGCCCGUGCUGGACCAUGUACAAGUCUCCUGGAAUGGAGCGUCACAGAGGGUGAGAAUCCCGUCUUUGACAUGGACUGCCAGUGCAUUGUGGUAUGCUCUCAAAGAGUCGAGUUGUUUGGGAAUGCAGCUCUAAAUGGGUGGUAAACUCCAUCUAAAGCUAAAUAUUGGCGAGAGACCGAUAGUGAACAAGUACCGUGAGGGAAAGAUGAAAAGAACUUUGGAAAGAGAGUUAAACAGUAUGUGAAAUUGUUGAAAGGGAAACGCUUAAAGUCAGUCGUGUCGGCCAGGGAUCAACUCAGUUGUUUCUGCUGGGUGUACUUCCUGAUCUGAUGGGCCAACAUCAGUUUUGACUGCUGGAGAAGGGUAGAGGGAAUGUGGCACCUCUGGGUGUGUUAUAGCUCUCUGUCGGAUGCAGUGGUCAGGACUGAGGAAAGCAGCAUGCCGCAAGGCUGGGUUUUUAACCACGUUCAUGCUGAGGAUGUUGGCAUAAUGGCUUUAAUCGACCCGUCUUGAAACACGGACCAAGGAGUCUAACAUGCCUGCGAGUGUUUGGGUGGCAAACCCGAGUGCAGAAUGAAAGUGAAAGGUUGAGAUCCCUGUCAUGGGGAGCAUCGAUGCCCGGACCUGAGCUUUUAGCAAAGGAUCUGCGGUAGAGCAUGUAUGUUAGGACCCGAAAGAUGGUGAACUAUGCCUGAAUAGGGUGAAGCCAGAGGAAACUCUGGUGGAGGCUCGUAGCGAUUCUGACGUGCAAAUCGAUCGUCG
rnacentral:rRNA from 1 species